CUAAGCGUACACGGUGGAUGCCCUGGCAGUCAGAGGCGAUGAAGGACGUGCUAAUCUGCGAAAAGCGCCGGCGAGGUGAUAUGAACCUUUGACCCGGCGAUGUCCGAAUGGGGAAACCCAGUGUGUUCCGACACACUAUCGUUAACUGAAUACAUAGGUUAACGAGGCGAACCGGGGGAACUGAAACAUCUAAGUACCCCGAGGAAAAGAAAUCA
rnacentral:rRNA from 1 species